GAAGUGCGAUAAGCAAUGCGAAUUGCAGAACCGUGAGUCAUCAGAUUUUUGAACGCAACUGGCGCUGAGUGGCUCUCCACUCAGCAUACUUGUUUCAGUGUCUCUUUAUCUCAUCACCCAAAUCAUAAUGCGAGAGAUAACCUUCUCUUGCUAAACAUGAAAGCACUCUGCGCUCUGCGAGCGGCUUCGAUUCGUCGAGGGUCGCACUCAAUGCAGCAGUCACAUUGCUCACAAUGUGAACUCAUUGAGAGCUGAGGCAGUGCAGUUUAUCUGCCAGUGCUUAGUCACUUAAACUUUUCAUGCAUCUGAAAUCAAGCAGGACCACCCGCUGAACUUAA
rnacentral:misc_RNA from 1 species